rnacentral:snRNA from 1 species
AGCUUUGUGCGGUGGCAGUAUUGUAGCCAAUGAGGUUUAUCUGAAGCGUGAUUAUUGCUAAUUGAAAACUUUUACCAAAGAUGUGGUCCAUAUAUACAAUGGAAUAUUACUCAGCCAUCAGAAAGG